rnacentral:rRNA from 1 species
ACGUAGGGUGCAAGCGUUAAUCGGAAUUACUGGGCGUAAAGCGUGCGCAGGCGGCUUUGCAAGACAGAUGUGAAAUCCCCGGGCUUAACCUGGGAACUGCAUUUGUGACUGCAUCGCUGGAGUGCGGCAGAGGGGGAUGGAAUUCCGCGUGUAGCAGUGAAAUGCGUAGAUAUGCGGAGGAACACCGAUGGCGAAGGCGACUGUCUGGGGAGCAACUGACGCUGAGGCGCGAAAGCUGGGGGAGCAAACGGGA